UAGGGAAUCUUCUACAAUGGACGAAAGUCUGAUGGAGCAACGCCGCGUGAGUGAAGAAGGGUUUCGGCUCGUAAAACUCUGUUGUUAAAGAAGAACAUAUCUGAGAGUAACUGUUCAGGUAUUGACGGUAUUUAACCAGAAAGCCACGGCUAACUACGUGCCAG
rnacentral:rRNA from 1 species